AUAACCUCAAAAAUUAAUUGGGAUUGUUAUUUGUUUUCAUCUUGGAGAACUUGAGAUCUCACUUAUUUUAUUGAAUUUUUGUGCUCUUAGUGCUCUUCAUCCCUUAGAAAAUGCCUUCCCAACGGCAUAAAGUCUCAGGAAAGUCUAAUGUGAAACAGGAAGUUGAGAAAAUAAAGAUAAAAGCAGAGCCGAUUGAUAUUCUUCCUCUGUCGGAGUACGUGGACGACAGGGUUGAGCUUAUAAAACAGGCAUUUUCCUGCCUAAAGCCCAAAUCCAUAAAAGCCAUUGCACCAGACUUUCUACAGAAUAAACCGAUUGAAAAGAUUCAAGAACAAUGCCUAAAUGAAGUCUUGGGGAUGUCCAAGAAGCGACUUCUUUCCAUCAUCAAUGCAACGAAAUGUCCAACAGAUACAGAAUCCUCUUCAGAUGAGGAAGGUGUUGAGAGGAUUGAAGCUCAUAUUUCAUUAGAUGAGAUUUCAUCUGAAGAUGAUCGACCAAAGGCAAAGAAGAAAACGCAGAAGAAUGCUGAGAAAACGGAGGUCAAACGGCCCAAACAGAAGAAAGCUGAAGCAGAUGCAGCAAAGCCCGAGGAAGUAAAGAAAGAAUAUUCUGUUCUUGAAUUGCUUGAGCUGCAAGCUCGUGCCAGGGCUAUUAGAUCUCAAUUGGCUCUGGAGCCUGUGACAAAGAUUGAAAUUAAAGAAUCUGAUGAAGAGGACGAAGUUGAAGAGCAACCUCCACAAAUUAAACCACCUGCACCUCCCAUACAACCAUCGAUUCCACAACCAGCUCCUGUGCCAGAAAAGAGCAGUGAAUCCUCAAGACUGCCGAGUACUACAAAGCCAUCCGGUGGGAGAACAGUCAGGAUUGUUAAAAGCACAGUCGCAGAGAGCAGCAACAAAGUGCGAGAAUCAAGCAGGAACGGCGUAGAAAAGGACAAACCCGUUAAAUCCAAUGAAGGGUCUCAAAGCACAGAGAGGCGUAUUAAAUUGAAACGAAACUGGCGGAAGAAGUCUACAGAUGGUGAAGCUGGGAAAGAUAAUCCAGCAAACUUUGUGAUUGAAAUCAAAAACACAGCAGUUGAAAAGGUUGUCGAGGAACGUAGAAAAGUGUCUGUUGAUGAACGAAGCCCUUCACCGGAUGUUCUUCCUAUUAUUCCAAGUCCAGAAACACUUUGCAUUUCCAGUGACACGGAUGAAGAGGCACCAAAUGCAAAAGAAAAGCCUGGUGGGUCACCGGCUAAGAAAGCCAGAGAGGAAAUAAUUACACCGCCAAAAGAAGCAACACCUCCUAAAGAAGUUCCUGUAGAAGCUUCAAAGGAUGAAACACUUGAAGAGGGAGAAGUUCUUGAUGAAUUGGAAAUUAAUAUCCAGGAAGAUGAAAAAAAUCUCGAGGCAGUAAUUGCUGAGGAUUCCAAGAAAGUCCAGGAGAAAGAUACCAAAAAGGUGGUGGAGGAAUCUGAGAAACAAUCAGCAGGAGAAAAGGAAGCGGAAAAUGAGGGGGUGGAGAAGGAAAAGCAAACAACAGAGAAAAACAAACAAACUACAGAUGACGAAAAAUCAGACGAUGAUUUGAAUGAUGACUGCAUAGAAAUUGUUUGUACGGAUAUUCUGGACGAACAGCAGGAUAAUACUGAUCACAAGGAGGAGUCAGACAAUCAAAAUAAAACGGAAGCUGAAGAAGAAAUUCUCGAUUUAAAUGAUUCAAGUGAUGAAGAUAAUCUGCCGCUUUCCCAGUUAGUUGGAGAGAAGAAGUCUCCGGCAAAAUCAAAAAAUAGUAAGAUUGAAUCGUGGAACUCUCGCUGGCUAGAGAGUUCUCGUGUGUCGAAGAUCAUGGCCACAUCACGCUUGGGAAAUUCUGUACGCAGGAAAAUAAAGACCAAGACAAUGAGGCAGAAGGAAGUGGAGGAGAAUGAUAGCAAUUCGGGUGGGGAAUCACAACAACAAAUGAGGGUGCUUGUAUCCAAUAUGGAGGAAGGAUCUGUGGGACAAUAUCGCGAAUUGGCGGAAAAACAACAAUAAGGUGCAAAAGGAAGAAGAAGAAAUAGCGAAGACGAAUACCAAAAAGCGCUAAACCCGUAAUCCCGUUCGUGAGGUUGGAAUCCAAAUUGGAAAGAGCUGUGUGUGCAUUAAAGACCGUUUUAUCACCAAGCAACGAAACGCAAAGAACGUGUUUGCUAACCAAUAUAUAAUCCGGAUUUGGUUGAGGAGGCAUCAGUAAACGAGCAAUGGUAGCAUGUUAUCCGAUCGCCGUUCGCGGUACAACUGAAUGGCCGGAGCAACAUCAUCCGCGUACUUCUUGGAUGGUUCAAGUUGAUGGUGGUGAAACAACCUUCUUCUCGGAGUCACAUGAGAAACAAACCAAGGCAAAGGAGAGUGGCCUCGAGAGUGUGGAUUCUCUCUUUUCUCGAGAAGAGAUAGUGGUGGAUGAGAGUGUGUGGAGAAGUGAAAAAUGUGUGUGAUUCUGUUGGCGCGCGCCCCAGCUCAAAUUCAAGACUCUUCCUCAACAAAAGCCCCCAACCUGCCAUGAGUUUCCACACCAUCAGUGUGAGAGAGAGAUGUGAAUAUAUGUACCUUAGCUCAUAUGGCGAGAACGGUGUUCCAUUAACCUACUGAUACAGAACCAUCCAACAAAACUAACAUAACUACUUCUGCCGCUUCAUGGUCUUGGUCGUCUUCGUCGUCAUCGUCAUCUUUGGUAGCAGCAGAGCAUCAACUUUAACACGUUGUUCAACAAAGGAAAUUUAAUUAUCGACACGACCUGUGGUCGCUUCUUUCUUUCUUCUUUUUGAUGAUGAUGAUGUUGUUGCCGAAAUCAUCGAUCGACAUCCGAUGCAUCAAUUACAAAAAAUUUCUUUUUCAUUGGCACAAGGCACAAAUUAAGAUUUUCUAUUUCAUCUUGUACCUACCGCGCUAAAUUGGCGAAACGUGGAUGGAAAAUUUACUUAAAAACAACAAAAAACUGUUCCACCAUGUCAGAGGUUUGAGUAUACGAGAUGAAAAACUCUGAGUGUACAAAAAAAUAGAAUUGCGAAUUAAAUGAAUUAAUUGUGGUAGAGAGAAA